GGGGAUUUAGCUCAGCGGCAUAAGCACCUGCCUUGCAAGCAGGCGGCCCUGGGUUCGAUCCCCAGUACCA
rfam:Cavia porcellus supercont2_48 genomic scaffold, whole genome shotgun sequence.